rnacentral:rRNA from 1 species
CACGUAGGGUGCGAGCGUUGUCCGGAAUUAUUGGGCGUAAAGAGCUCGUAGGCGGUGUGUCGCGUCGGCCGUGAAAACCUGCAGCUUAACUGUGGGCUUGCGGUCGAUACGGGCAUCACUGGAGUUCGGCAGGGGAGACUGGAAUUCCUGGUGUAGCGGUGAAAUGCGCAGAUAUCAGGGAGGGAACACCGGUGGGCGGAAGGCGGGUCUCUGGGCCGAUACUGACGC